CAUCCAUUUUGCGGACCCCUUUGCAUCCCUCAGUAUAUUGCCACGUAGGGCUGCAUAAGGUCAGCGUAGUCGGUACGCCGCAUUACGCAACUCUACGUUGGCCCGGUGUGAAAGGGGCUUUACAUGCAAGUUGAAUAGAGCUUGUUGCAAAUUA